UCCUUCUUGCAAAAGCACUCUGCUAAAAUUGCAAGACCAAAGCCUUUGGCUUGGGUCUUGUGAUAAUGCUAGUAAGAGUACACCCAAGAAGGAGAAUAACUGCACAUCAUCUGGAAUGAGACAAGGAUGGACCUCUUUCUUAAUGUCCAAUGUCCAUUGUCUCAGGAUGCUGUGCAACAGUU